rnacentral:rRNA from 1 species
AACGAACGCUGGCGGCAUGCCUAACACAUGCAAGUCGAACGAGACAUUCGGGUCUAGUGGCGCACGGGUGCGUAACGCGGGGGAAACUGCCCUUAGGUUCGGAAGAACUCGCCGAAAGGGGUGCUAAUACCGGCUCAUGUCUUCGGACCAAAGAUUGAUUGCCUUUGGAUGGGCCCGCGUUGGCUUAGCUAGAUGGUAGGGUAAAAGGCUACAAAGGGGACGAUACAUAGCUGGUAAGAGAGGCUGGGCAGCGACACUGGGCCUGAGACACGGCCCGGACUCCUACGCGAGGGAGGAGUGGGUGAUACAGCACUGCGGGCUGUGUGAUGAACCUGCAAUGAUGCGUAAGCGAUGAAGGUUGGAGGGUUGUAAAGCUCGUUUACCCGUGAUGAUAAUGACAGUACCGGGAGAAUAAGCUCCGGCUAACUCCGUG